GUUCUUCUCAAGCGAGUCUAGGAUAGUGGAAGCUAGAUGGGAGAUAGGGUAAUAAUUGGCACUUUCGUAAUGAGCCUAGCUCAAUUUUUUUUAAACAAAUGAAGUAAUAAAUUAGGGUGGAACCGCGUUUCAACG
rnacentral:sRNA from 19 species